UACGGGGGGAGCAAGCGUUGUUCGGAUUUACUGGGCGUAAAGGGCGCGUAGGCGGCGCGGUAAGUCACUUGUGAAAUCUCUGAGCUUAACUCAGAACGGUCAAGUGAUACUGCUGUGCUAGAGUGCGGAAGGGGCAAUCGGAAUUCUCGGUGUAGCGGUGAAAUGCGUAGAUAUCGAGAGGAACACCUGAGGUGAAGACGGGUUGCUGGGCCGACACUGACGCUGAUGCGCGAAAGCCAGGGGAGCAAACGGG
rnacentral:rRNA from 1 species